CACAUGUUUUCUGUUCUCCAGGCUCUUUCAAAAUAGUCAAGAAUAUCAAAGAUUCAAGAUCACGGAGAACAACAUGCAGUAUCCUGUGGAGGCCACUAGCAUGCACAGGGUGCCCAUUGGUGCAACGGGGCUGUAGACAGAGGAGCCAGAUGACUUUCUGUACCUAAUACAUUGUGUAUGCUGUGUAAAUAGUGGUUAUACUUGUAUCGUCGAGGGAACCAAGACAAGAAUAAAAGAAUCUGCUAAUGUUCAGCGCAGACACAGCCAUCACAGGCGUCUCUACACAGUAGAUCAAUGAGGCUACAGGACUGGAUACAGUGGCUGCAUGGGGAACAUGGAAGGUGCCCUUAGCUGGGUCACCAACUUCUACCCUGGUUUCCAAACAAGCGCUUUUCCAGGCUCCGUCCUCCGAGCUCUGCAGCCUCAGAGUGGGCAGCCAAUUCAGUCCCUGCACCUUGGGGUGAACUUGCCCCAGGUCAGACAUGCCCUGUGCCUGUGUGACAGUGACUUGGAGACACCAGGAGGGACACUCUGCCCUGCCUGUGAAUUUGGCAUCUUUGCUAUCUCCACUAGACCAAGGAAGCUGACAAGUCUGAUGCUCACACAAAUCUCAAAGUACAGAGCCUACUACAAGAGAGAGAGUGGCCAUGUGGAGAAGUCUGGCUGACUAUUACCCAAUCGAAGGCACACGGUAGGAAGCAAAUGAACCUGAUUAAAGAAAAUGGAGUACAUUUCUCCUUGCCAGAGAAAUACAGAUAA